CACUAUUCACUUCAGGCAGUACGAAAUCUGAUAUCUUUCGCCGGAGCUCUCUGAAUAUCCGUUUAAGCUCAAAUUUGACAGUCAUGUUCGGUUUUGCUUAACUUAACGAAAGAAAUUUUAAUCUUUCAGUUUCGACCCCGUUUGGUCACCGAAAGUUGUACCGAACUGUAAUCUUUAUCAGAUCACUAUCGGAUUUUAUUUUCCACCUUUCGGGUAUCGGAAUGAUAUGAAACUUUAAAUCUAGCCUCAUAAAAAUAAUUUUGGCUUAUCCUCUAGUUUUCAAAAUUUUCUGACACUGUACAUUUUCUGCUAAUUUAUCUGUCCCGUCUCUUACAGAAAAUUCUAAAUCUUCUGUUUUCGCUCCGAUUUCAGCACAGGUCAUUUUCAAGUUAUACUUUACACCCUUAAAUCCAAUAAAAAUAGUAUCUCACACUAUUUUUAUUUAUAUUUAUUUUUAUAUUUAAAAUCCGGUAUGUUACAUUCCACCGCAACCUCAUCGGAACUAUUUAAAUGUACACCGUAACUUCAUAAUUUUAGAAGUUCGGUACCUUACAAUUACAUUCUCAUCGGUUCUCAACCAUCUCAUGAUACACUUGAACUCACAAAAUGCAAACAUUCACAUAUUAAUAAUC
rnacentral:lncRNA from 1 species